UUUAAAGCCGUAGAAAUAAAAAUGCGGAAACAACUCACCUCGCGCGUUCCUUUUUCUUCUUCCGCCUCCCGUGAAAAAAAUAAAAAACUUAAAAAUUUCACCUCCCUCCCACUCUCAUGAGAAAAAAAGCCCAAACCCUCCUUUCCCUAAACAUCUCCUCUCUCUCUAUCUCCCCAACCCUCUCUCACGAAUACUCCCCACUCACGAACCCUCUCUCAUGAAUACUUCCCUCUCACAAACCCCUCUUCUCCCCUUAACCAUCCCCUCUCUCUCAAUCUCACGAAGACUCCCCUCUCUCACGCCAUAAUCGACAUCCCUGCUGCUCGAUCGUGUCUCUUUUUGUUCCUUUUUAGAAUCCUCAGAUGAUGCCUCUCAAGUAAACGAUGAUGAAAAUGCACUUAUGGGUUUCUUUGAUGACUCCAAAGAGUAUGUGUAAAAUUGUAGAGGAAUCCAUUCAUUGAUCUGCCGAGAACAUAGCACUAGCCAUUGGUGCACUGUGUAUGGUAAGAAUCUCCAUAUUUUGCUAUUCUGUCAUGUUUUACCCUAAAAUAAUGCAUUUAGAGAGAGAGAGAGAGAGCAUGAACAUGACGAUUUAAAAAGUGGAUUCUAUAAAGAAAACUUUUGUUUGUGCAUUUUCCUUUGAAAGUAUUUUGGGGGAAUCAUUGUUAAUCAUACGUUAGGUAAUCCUAUGACUGGUUGUAGACAAUUAGUUCUUAGCC